rnacentral:rRNA from 1 species
AUUGAACGCUGGCGGCAGGCCUAACACAUGCAAGUCGAACGGUAACAGGAAGAAGCUUGCUUCUUUGCUGACGAGUGGCGGACGGGUGAGUAAUGUCUGGGAAACUGCCUGAUGGAGGGGGAUAACUACUGGAAACGGUAGCUAAUACCGCAUAACGUCGCAAGACCAAAGAGGGGGACCUUCGGGCCUCUUGCCAUCGCAUGUGCCCAGAUGGGAUUAGCUUGUUGGUGGGGUAACGGCUCACCAAGGCGACGAUCCCUAGCUGGUCUGAGAGGAUGACCAGCCACACUGGAACUGAGACACGGUCCAGACUCCUACGGGAGGCAGCAGUGGGGAAUAUUGCACAAUGGGCGCAAGCCUGAUGCAGCCAUGCCGCGUGUAUGAAGAAGGCCUUCGGGUUGUAAAGUACUUUCAGCGGGGAGGAAGGGAGUAAAGUUAAUACCUUUGCUCAUUGACGUUACCCGCAGAAGAAGCACCGGCUAACUCCGUG